rnacentral:rRNA from 1 species
GGGUUGUGAGGUUAAGCGACUAAGCGUACACGGUGGAUGCCCUGGCAGUCAGAGGCGAUGAAGGACGUGCUAAUCUGCGAAAAGCGUCGGUAAGGUGAUAUGAACCGUUACAGCCGGCGAUGUCCGAAUGGGGAAACCCAGUGCAAUUCGUUGCACUAUCGUUAACUGAAUACAUAGGUUAACGAGGCGAACCGGGGGAACUGAAACAUCUAAGUACCCCGAGGAAAAGAAAUCAACCGAGAUUCCCCCAGUAGCGGCGAGCGAACGGGGAGCAGCCCAGAGUCUGAAUCAGCUUGUGUGUUAGUGGAACGGUCUGGAAAGUCCGACGGUACAGGGUGAUAGUCCCGUACACCAAAAUGCACAGGCUGUGAACUCGAAGAGUAGGGCGGGACACGUGGUAUCCUGUCUGAAUAUGGGGGGACCAUCCUCCAAGGCUAAAUACUCCUGACUGACCGAUAGUGAACCAGUACCGUGAGGGAAAGGCGAAAAGAACCCCGGCGAGGGGAGUGAAAAAGAACCUGAAACCGUGUACGUACAAGCAGUGGGAGCACCUUCGGGUGUGACUGCGUACCUUUUGUAUAAUGGGUCAGCGACUUAUAUUCUGUAGCAAGGUUAACCGUAUAGGGGAGCCGCAGGGAAACCGAGUCUUAACUGGGCGUUAAGUUGCAGGGUAUAGACCCGAAACCCGGUGAUCUAGCCAUGGGCAGGUUGAAGGUUGGGUAACACUAACUGGAGGACCGAACCGACUAAUGUUGAAAAAUUAGCGGAUGACUUGUGGCUGGGGGUGAAAGGCCAAUCAAACCGGGAGAUAGCUGGUUCUCCCCGAAAGCUAUUUAGGUAGCGCCUCGUGAAUUCAUCUUCGGGGGUAGAGCACUGUUUCGGCUAGGGGGUCAUCCCGACUUACCAACCCGAUGCAAACUACGAAUACCGAAGAAUGUUAUCACGGGAGACACACGGCGGGUGCUAACGUCCGUCGUGAAGAGGGAAACAACCCAGACCGCCAGCUAAGGUCCCAAAGUCAUGGUUAAGUGGGAAACGAUGUGGGAAGGCACAGACAGCCAGGAUGUUGGCUUAGAAGCAGCCAUCAUUUAAAGAAAGCGUAAUAGCUCACUGGUCGAGUCGGCCUGCGCGGAAGAUGUAACGGGGCUAAACCAUGCACCGAAGCUGCGGCAGCGACACUAUGUGUUGUUGGGUAGGGGAGCGUUCUGUAAGCCUGCGAAGGUGUGCUGUGAGGCAUGCUGGAGGUAUCAGAAGUGCGAAUGCUGACAUAAGUAACGAUAAAGCGGGUGAAAAAGCCCGCUCGCCGGAAGACCAAGGGUUCCUGUCCAACGUUAAUCGGGGGCAGGGGUGAGUCGACCCCUAAGGCGAGGCCGAAAGGCGUAGUCGAUGGGAAACAGGUUAAUAUUCCUGUACUUGGUGUUACUGCGAAGGGGGACGGAGAAGGCUAUGUUAGCCGGGCGACGGUUGUCCCGGUUUAAGCAUGUAGGCUGGUUAUCCAGGCAAAUCCGGAUAAUCAAGGCUGAGGUGUGAUGACGAGGCACUACGGUGCUGAAGUAACAAAUGCCCUGCUUCCAGGAAAAGCCUCUAAGCAUCAGGUAACAUCAAAUCGUACCCCCAAACCGACACAGGUGGUCAGGUAGAGAAUACCAAGGCGCUUGAGAGAACUCGGGUGAAGGAACUAGGGCAAAAUGGUGCCGUAACUUCGGGAGAAGGCACGCUGGUGUGUAGGUGAAGUCCCUGCGGAUGGAGCUGAGACCAGUCGAAGAUACCAGCUGGCUGCAACUGUUUAUUAAAAAAACACAGCACUGUGCAAACACGAAAGUGGACGUAUACGGUGUGACGCCUGCCCGGUGCCGGAAGGUUAAUUGAUGGGGUUAUCCGUAAGGAGAAGCUCUUGAUCGAAGCCCCGGUAAACGGCGGCCGUAACUAUAACGGUCCUAAGGUAGCGAAAUUCCUUGUCGGGUAAGUUCCGACCUGCACGAAUGGCGUAAUGAUGGCGAGCUGUCUCCACCCGAGACUCAGUGAAAUUGAACUCGCUGUGAAGAUGCAGUGUACCCGCGGCAAGACGGAAAGACCCCGUGAACCUUUACUAUAGCUUGACACUGAACAUUGAGCCUUGAUGUGUAGGAUAGGUGGGAGGCUUUGAAGCGUGGACGCCAGUCUGCGUGGAGCCAACCUUGAAAUACCACCCUUUAAUGUUUGAUGUUCUAACGUUGGCCCCUGACCGGGGUUGCGGACAGUGUCUGGUGGGUAGUUUGACUGGGGCGGUCUCCUCCCAAAGCGUAACGGAGGAGCACGAAGGUUAGCUAAUCUGGUCGGACAUCAGGAGGUUAGUGCAAUGGCAUAAGCUAGCUUGACUGCGAGCGUGACGGCGCGAGCAGGUGCGAAAGCAGGUCAUAGUGAUCCGGUGGUUCUGAAUGGAAGGGCCAUCGCUCAACGGAUAAAAGGUACUCCGGGGAUAACAGGCUGAUACCGCCCAAGAGUUCAUAUCGACGGCGGUGUUUGGCACCUCGAUGUCGGCUCAUCACAUCCUGGGGCUGAAGUAGGUCCCAAGGGUAUGGCUGUUCGCCAUUUAAAGUGGUACGCGAGCUGGGUUUAGAACGUCGUGAGACAGUUCGGUCCCUAUCUGCCGUGGGCGCUGGAGAAUUGAGGGGGGCUGCUCCUAGUACGAGAGGACCGGAGUGGACGCAUCACUGGUGUUCGGGUUGUCAUGCCAAUGGCACUGCCCGGUAGCUAAAUGCGGAAGAGAUAAGUGCUGAAAGCAUCUAAGCACGAAACUUGCCCCGAGAUGAGUUCUCCCUGAGACUUUAAGUCUCCUGAAGGAACGUUGAAGACGACGACGUUGAUAGGCCGGGUGUGUAAGCGCAGCGAUGCGUUGAGCUAACCGGUACUAAUGAACCGUGAGGCUUAACCUUACAACGCCGAAG